rnacentral:tRNA from 1 species
GAAAUAUGUUAUUCAAAAUAAAGCUUCUAACUUUAAUUUUUAGCGGUGAAAUACCGUUUAUAUUUCU